UCGGUUAUAAGAUCCCUCAAAGAUGAUGAGGUUAAUAGGUUCGAGGUGGAAGCGUGGUGACACGUGGAGCUGACGAAUACUAAUCGAUCGAAGACUUAAUCAAA
rnacentral:rRNA from 1 species